rnacentral:lncRNA from 1 species
CAGCCGGCUCGCGGUUGACUCGGGGUUUCACACCCACGGUGACGAAGAGCACUGGGCACAACUUGUAGCCAUGGGCUUGGCAGUCUCCACUUCAGUAGCCGAAUAGCUCUUGGUUUAUAGUGGUCUGUUCGCGGGAGUGUCAGAUACAGUCUGGGGAGUAUUUGUCGCGCAGCAUCGCCAACGUUCGCUAACGGACCCAACAGAAAACCGGCAUCGCCCACUACGUGCACACCGCCAGACCUUUCCUAUACGCUUGGAACGAGACGCAUAUGGGUACCAUAAACAACGGUGGAGCGACUGAGCGGGCGAGAAGCUGAUCCCACCGUGAAGAAAAGGCCAUUACGGCAGGUCGCCAAUGUCAGAAAAACAGGGCAAUGAACAGAAGCAAGUAAAGGCAGCGUCGAUAACUGCGCUUUACGCCGAUCACGAUUCCGUUUGUGUUUUGCCGUAACGUCCCACGAUAUGCUCCUUUAUCAUUAUCGCUGCCGUCGGCUCUGGUGUCCGUCUGAGUGUCAGCUUCGAUGGGCGCUGACAGCUCGGGCCCAAACAACGUUAGGUUCUCUGUCGAAGCACUCGCCAGCUUGCCUAGUUGCUCCGGCCAUGUUCUCAAGCGUCGAGCGAGUCGGCAAAAAACAUGCUAGUCUUCAAGCAGUAGCACAAUGGAACAAUAGAACAGCUCCUAACAAGAAGAAAACUGCCGUCAUAAUGGCGACAGCGACAACAUUGUUUGCAAUGGUGACGAUGCCUAUCAGCUCUUAAGACGCUGCCAGUAACAACAAUGUUCGAAUGUUCACGGCUGCCACCGAAAGCGCUCACUCGAACAUCCGUUGCUAGUGACAUGUUGAAAAGAGCAAUGACUAUAGGCAAAUGUGACUGGAAAAGCCGCUGUCGCGGCCGUCCAACGAAGUAAACGCUAUGAAAGGGAGAGCUGGUUGAGUUACAAUCGAUUUCAUCGGUUGACUUCGGGGAAAGGUCUGAACCUUCGUAGAGAGGAGAGGCAAUUUCGGACACGUGUCGGGAACGACAUUAUGAAGUCUCUCAUCGUCAGAAAAAACUCGCCGAAGGAGAAGCAAGCUUUUUCAGGGUUCAGUAAUCAUCACUUGAACAUGCGUGAAUUACGUGAAUUCACGCAUAUGUAUAUCGAGUUUCACAUAUUGCUGCUUGUCCCACUGGGUUUACAGAGCGCAUAAAGUAUCAGCUGACAAGGAUAACGCCAUGGCUUGAUGCCAAACCAGAGGCUGGUUAAGGCUGUAUCACGUUUUGCUCAGCUCUGCUGCUGUAGAAACUACCCUGACACUGCAAACGGAUCGAAGAGGUCUUAAUUUACGUCUCCCGUUUACUAUACACUGCACACCGUCGCGCUGUCUGCACCUGUUUGCAAGUAGGGGCAAAGAGGGAAGCUAGAACAGGUGUCAGCAUAUGAAUACUCAGGACAAAUGUCAAACCGGCGGUAGGCCUUGCGCGUUUCAGACGUUUAGACGGAACCAAAUGGACAUUGUGUUUGCCAGCGGCAAAAUAUAAAGUGAAAUUGUUACGUCGGGAAAACAGGGUAGUCGUAGUGGUUUCACGUACUUCCUUGAAGUGGCCCACAGGCAAUAAUGCUGCGACACGAGAAGCGAAGAAACGUCCAGCAAUUAAACAGCGCAACAGCUUCAGGUCGCUACCUCUCGCCCUGGUUUCUAUAAAAUUAAAAGAUGACCGCUUGUUGGACCGGUUGUACAGUACCAAGAUUCUUUAUGGGGCAGAGCUGCAGCGAUUCUCAGCUGUUGCCAGAACAUGCUCUACGCCCUAUGACGUAGUAAAGCGUAGAAAGUGAGGCAACUGAACUUUUUCGGAUAUACCGUACCCUUCAGUCUGUUAGCUUUUGUCUAGGAUGUUGGUAAGUACGAGGCCCGAACAGAUUGAAUGUGGCAAGCAGCGGUAACGGUUGAGCUGCAAAAUUCAUUCACUAGGUGU